CGCGGAGUAGAGAAGCGGUAACUCAUUAGGCUCAUAACCUAAAGAUCGCAGGUUCGAGUCCUGCCUCCGCAA
rnacentral:tRNA from 1 species